rnacentral:rRNA from 1 species
UACGGAGGGUGCGAGCGUUGUCCGGAAUCACUGGGCGUAAAGGGCGCGUAGGCGGCCUGACAAGUGGAAGGUGAAAUCCCUCGGCUUAACCGAGGAACUGCCCUCCAAACUGUUUGGCUUGAGACCGGGAGAGGUGAGUGGAAUUCCCAGUGUAGCGGUGAAAUGCGUAGAUAUUGGGAGGAACACCAGAGGCGAAGGCGGGUUACUGGGCUGAUACUGACGCUGAUGCGCGAAAGCUAGGGGAGCAAACGGG